rfam:Fukomys damarensis contig154011, whole genome shotgun sequence.
CUCCCCGAGGGCUCCUGUAGCUCAGGGGGCAGGCCCGAGCCCUGCGUCCACCCCACGGCCCCGCCGUCCAGU